CAAAAUGUUGGCCGCUAGGUUCCCGCUCUCUGUCAGUGUAUUUAAUUCUACCGACCGCACGAGCACUGAUUUAGCAAGAUCGUAAAUAAUUACAAAAGAAAAUCCAAUCGGAAUUCUUGGAAUAAGUCCAGCAUGAAAAAUUCAAUUGAGAAAGUAAUUGCUGGAGAAAUAUGCCUCAAUAAGGCUGCUAUUCUGGUCCUGAUACCAAAGACAGCUUUGAAGAGAAAUUUGGAGAAAUAUAGGUCUACUCAAAAUAUUGAUAAAGCAACAGAGAAAAAACUGGAUAGAUUUGAAAAAGUACUUAGUUUCACAAAAACUUAAAAAAAAAUAAAAGCAAAAAAGAAAAACAGGAAGAAGGAAAGUGAAAAUACACAAAAAAAAUCCACAAAUGGAAAGGCUAGAAAGAAAUCUGAUAUAAAAAGCACAAAAACAAAGAAAAAUUAUAGUUCGUCUGACGACGAUAACGCUAAGUGCCUGUAUUGUUCUCAUUUAUACUCAGAAUCAAGCGGAGAUUGGGUAAAAUGUCCUAAAUGUCAUCUGUGGACACAUUGCGCUUGCGCAGGAGUCGCGGAUGAGGAUGAUGAGACAGUAUUUCUAUGUGAAAUAUGUUCUGACUAAUUAAUUUUAUGUAAGUCCGUUUUGCCUUCAUUUGUGGUCCGUUUUGUCUAACCCAUGAAGGUAAAACGGACAUAUUGAAGGUAUUAGAAAUCGUCUAAUAUCUUUGUUGCCUGUGAUUUUAUCAAAGCCUGAUUCGUACAUAAUAUAGAGCUAAUAAUGUUCAUUACUUUUACUUAAAAGAAGUUUAAUAAAAUGAAUAGUUUCUUUUC